rnacentral:rRNA from 1 species
GGGAUGAGUAUCGGAUUACUGGGCGUAAGCGCGCGUAGGUGGUUAAUUAAGUCAAAUGUGAAAUCCCCGAGCUUAACUUGGGAAUUGCAUUCGAUACUGGUUAGCUAGAGUAUGGGAGAGGAUGGUAGAAUUCCAGGUGUAGCGGUGAAAUGCGUAGAGAUCUGGAGGAAUACCGAUGGCGAAGGCAGCCAUCUGGCCUAAUACUGACACUGAGGUGCGAAAGCAUGGGGAGCAAACAGGAUUAGAUACCCUGGUAGUCCAUGCCGUAAACGAUGUCUACUAGCCGUUGGGGGAUUUGAUCCUUUAGUGGCGCAGCUAACGCGAUAAGUAGACCGCCUGGGGAGUACGGUCGCAAGACUAAAACUCAAAUGAAUUGACGGGGGCCCGCACAAGCGGUGGAGCAUGUGGUUUAAUUCGAUGCAACGCGAAGAACCUUACCUGGCCUUGACAUAGUAGAGACUUUCCAGAGAUGGAUUGGUGCCUUCGGGAAUCUACAUACAGGUGCUGCAUGGCUGUCGUCAGCUCGUGUCGUGAGAUGUUGGGUUAAGUCCCGCAACGAGCGCAACCCUUUUCCUUACUUGCCAGCAUUUCGGAUGGGAACUUUAAGGAUACUGCCAGUGACAAACUGGAGGAAGGCGGGGACGACGUCAAGUCAUCAUGGCCCUUACGGCCAGGGCUACACACGUGCUACAAUGGUCGGUACAAAGGGUUGCUACACAGCGAUGUGAUGCUAAUCUCAAAAAGCCGAUCGUAGUCCGGAUCGCAGUCUGCAACUCGACUGCGUGAAGUCGGAAUCGCUAGUAAUCGCGGAUCAGAAUGCCGCGGUGAAUACGUUCCCGGGCCUUGUACACACCGCCCGUCACACCAUGGGAGUUUGUUGCACCAGAAGUAGUAGUCUAACCGCAAGGGAGGACGCUUACCACGGUGUGGCCGAUGACUGGGGUGAAGUCGAGAGGGGGCACCCCUCUCUCUUUUUAA